AUUGAACGCUGGCGGCAUGCCUUACACAUGCAAGUCGAACGGUAACAGGUCUUCGGAUGCUGACGAGUGGCGAACGGGUGAGUAAUACAUCGGAACGUGCCUAGUAGUGGGGGAUAACUACUCGAAAGAGUGGCUAAUACCGCAUGAGAUCUACGGAUGAAAGCAGGGGAUCGCAAGACCUUGUGCUACUAGAGCGGCCGAUGGCAGAUUAGGUAGUUGGUGGGAUAAAAGCUUACCAAGCCGACGAUCUGUAGCUGGUCUGAGAGGACGAUCAGCCACACUGGGACUGAGACACGGCCCAGACUCCUACGGGAGGCAGCAGUGGGGAAUUUUGGACAAUGGGCGCAAGCCUGAUCCAGCAAUGCCGCGUGCAGGAUGAAGGCCUUCGGGUUGUAAACUGCUUUUGUACGGAACGAAAAGCCCCGGGUUAAUACCCUGGGGUCAUGACGGUACCGUAAGAAUAAGCACCGGCUAACUACGUGCCAGCAGCCGCCGAGU
rnacentral:rRNA from 1 species